AGUAAAUAGAUACCCUGGUAGUCCACGCCCUAAACGAUGUCGACUAGGUGUUCGGUGAGGAGACUCAUUGAGUACCGCAGCUAACGCGUGAAGUCGACCGCCUGGGGGGUACGGUCGCAAGAUUAAAACUCAAAGGAAUUGACGGGGACCCGCACAAGCGGUGGAUGAUGUGGAUUAAUUCGAUGCAACGCGAAAAACCUUACCUACCCCUGACAUGUACGGAACCCUGCUGAGAGGUGGGGGUGCUCGAAAGAGAGCCGUAACACAGGUGCUGCAUGGCUGUCGUCAGCUCGUGUCGUGAGAUGUUGGGUUAAGUCCCGCAACGAGCGCAACCCUUGUCAUUAGUUGCUACGCAAGAGNC
rnacentral:rRNA from 1 species